GGCAGUGUUGUCGUAACCGUGGUAGGGGGAGGGUGUGUUCCGCGUCGCUCUAAAACGGAGGGCUGUGUAAUGAGGGACUGAUGAAAGACGAAACAAUGGCAAACUGACCGAUAAAAAGUGGAAAUACUGAGAAAAAAAUACAAUUACUGACUCAUACCUAUUGAAUUACGACGAGAAGUGAACGAAAUGAAAAGAGAAGGAAGGAAAAACAAAAACAAUGGAAGGAGGACGAAGAGAAAUGAAAAAAAUGGAGAAAUAAAGAGAAAAUAAAAGUGAAUGAAACAAAAG
rnacentral:lncRNA from 1 species